rnacentral:rRNA from 1 species
UACAGAGGGUGCGAGCGUUACUCGGAAUUACUGGGCGUAAAGCGCGCGUAGGCGGCUUUUCAAGUCGAUUGUGAAAUCCCCGGGCUCAACCUGGGAACUGCAGUCGAGACUGUCUAGCUAGAGUAUGGGAGAGGGAAGUGGAAUUUCAGGUGUAGCGGUGAAAUGCGUAGAUAUCUGAAGGAACAUCAGUGGCGAAAGCGACUUCCUGGACCAAUACUGACGCUCAUGUGCGAAAGCGUGGGGAGCAAACAGG